rnacentral:rRNA from 1 species
UACAGGUGCUGCAUGGCUGUCGUCAGCUCGUGUCGUGAGACUGUCGGUUAAGUCCGCUAACCGAGUCGCAACCCUCGCUGUGUGUUACAAGUGUCACACGGAACUGCCGGUCAUAAACCGGAGGAAGGUGGGGAUGACGUCAAAUCAUCAUGCCCCUUAUGUUCUGGGCUACACACGUGCUACAAUGGCCGGUACAGACGGACGCAAAGCCGCGAGGUGGAGCAAAUCCUAAAAAGCCGGUCUCAGUUCGGAUUGCAGGCUGCAAUUCGCCUGCAUGAAGUCGGAAUCGCUAGUAAUCGCAGGUCAGCAUACUGCGGUGAAUACGUUCCCGGGCCUU